UAAGCUAGGAGUCUCAUUAAGAAACCACUAGUUUGAAUUGCCCAAGCAAAAAUCUCAUUGUUUUAGAUCCGAACUAAGCCUUCGUAAUUUGUAAUUUUUUUGAAUCAAAUUAAGGGUUUAUUCAUUGUUUAUUUGAGGUAAAUUCGAAAUUGUUCGAAUUGUGUAAUCAUCAAUUACUGACAUUGGUAAGCGACCCAAAGCGAUUUGAUUAUAAUUCAAUUCGUGACGAUCAUAAGUAGAAAGUUCAUAUUCUUCGGUCAUUGAUAAACAAUUUGUUGGGCAAUACUCAACGCAAUUACCACAAAAUAUACAGAUUCCAAAAUCAAUACUGUAAUUAAGCAAUCGUUUCUUUCGAAUAUCAGUUUCCAACUUCCAAUCAACAACGGGUAAAUCUAUAGGACAUACACGCACACAUACUUCACAAGCAAUGCAUUUAUCAAAUUCAAAGUGUAUUCGGCCUCGGAAACGUUCCGAUGUGAUCAAUUUUUCGUAGGGGUAUUGAAUAGUUACAGGUAAACGAUUUGCGUGGGACAGGGUAAUCAUGAAACCUUGGCCGAUAUAUCUGGCGGCUCGUAUUGUUUGUUGACCAUAAUUUAUGAAUUCAGUUAUCAUAGGGAGCAUAUGUUGAAUAUCUAUAAAAAAGAUUUUAUGCUUGUUUCUUUCUCUUGUUUGAGACAAGUCGUGAAUCUAGGAUAUUGUGGUCUUUUACAAUGAAAGAAGUUGGGACGAGGUUGUCAAUAAUAGAUUACCUAGAGAAAUCGGUAAAAGAAAUUUCCACCCAAGAUUUAAUAGUUGGUCCAUUCUCAGCCUCGGUAAAGUCCAUCUUGUUGCAAUGUGAAUGAACAAAACCAAAUAAGUUUUGGCUAAUGUGAUAAAGAUACCAAUUAGUGUUCCAAAGAAUUUACCUCCUUUAUUUAUGCCAAAUAUCUCAGGAACAAAUAUGUACGGAAUAGACAGAUUCCAACCUCCCAAGUAAAGAACUGUUACAAAUAAUGAAGAAACUAGUAGAUUCAGAUGUGAAGCAAUGUAAAAUAAAUCAAAUUUGAUACCAGAAUAUUCGGUCUGAUACCCUGCCACUAAUUCUUCUUCUUCUUCUGGUAAAUCAAAAGGUAAUCUUUCACACUCGGCGAGAGAAGAAAUUAGAAAAAUGAUAAACCCGAUGGGUUGACGCCACAAAUUCCACCCCCAAAAACCAUAUUUUGACUGCGCUUCCACUAUAUCAACUGUACUUAAACUGUUAGAUAAUCAUAGUCGAUGAACAUCACUGUGCCCAUCGCUAUUACAGAACCGUACGUGAGAUUUUCACCUGAUACGGCUCCUCAGAGGUCACAACUAAAUCUAAGGGCCCUUUACUAUUCUUUAUCUUGAUAUGUUUGUCAGAUAGAGUCAAAAUCUAUUCUAAGGUCCCAAAUCAGAGCAAUGGAAUUUUGUCUGCUGUAUUUAAAACUAAUAAAUAAGUGCUUCUGAAUUUAUCUCAUCUUUUAAGAAUUUUAAUUUUUCUUUGUUGAUUAAUAACCUUAUCAUUAAAUAAAAAAAUGUGCUUUAUAGCAAUAUCACAUAUACAUUUCAACCUCAAAUUUUCAAUUACGAAAAAAAUUAGAGAGUACAUUAGUACAUGAAUCAUGACAAAAAAUUUAUCUCUCUGAAUAGAAAUAAAAAUUGAAUUAUAGGAAAGAAAGAAUAAAAACAAAAAAAGACAUUCCUCCUUUUUCCUUUUUCAAUUAGCUUCUUUUCUUUCUAUUUCUAUUUUUUUUAUUUCAUUCCUAUUCUCCUUUCUUAAAAAAAGGGUCUUUAACCAAAGUAAAAGAUUACUUCGUUCUUGAUAGUUAGUUACUUACUCAGUGGAUAGGAACAUACUCUGGAUCAGAAUCAUGGCGAGUACUUCUUAAUCAUUUCUACGAACGUAAAGCCCCAAUUAUAAUUCCUUUUAUGUAUAGAAAUAUCCUCUUGGAUAACUUACAUCAUCUCAAUUACUAAUCUUUUGUGUAUCUUGGUCUUCCUGACCAUCCACUCAUUUUUUGUUUCAAAAACCUCCCAUUGUGGAAAUCCAUCUAUGGUAAUAGACAGUAAAAACUCCAUAGAGUUGGUCUUUUGAACCCGCUUCAAGCUAUCAUGACAAUUCACGAAUCUUGGGGUAAACAAUCUCUCUUGCUUAUAUUUACUUUUUUCACCAUUUGAUUCUUGUACAUAGGAAAUGAGACUCAACUUUUUUACUGCAAAUUUAGAAGCCGUUUUCUUUCACUCAUAUAACUAUCUGAUUUAGUUCAUCAACUCAAAUGCUGAAGAAAAAAAAUAUAUAAUCAAUCAAAUCUUUUUAUCCUUGUUUCUAGAAAGAAAAGAAUUUGGAUAAAUUUUAGGUCUCACCGAAUCACACGUAGAGAUAUUGAUAACACACAUAGAGCUAAUGGUAUUUCAUAACUAAUUGAUUGAGCAGCUGCCCGUAGACCACCUAAAAAGGAAUAUUUAUUAUUUGAUCCAUACCCCGACAUAAGAAGUCCAACGGGAGCAAUACUUGAAAUGGCAAUCCAAAAAAAAACACCAAUACUAAGAUCGGCUAGAACAAGGUGAUCACCAAAAGGAAUUACUGAAUAACUUAGAAAGAUAGAUAUUACUGCUAUGGAUGGUCCGAUACUGAAUAAACGAGUAUCUCCUGUAGAUGGAAUAAGGUUCUCUUUCAAAAGUAGUUUUGUCCCAUCUGCUAGAGCUUGAAGAAUUCCUAACGGGCCGGCAUAUUCAGGCCCAAUACGUUGUUGUAUUCCUGCAGAUAUUUCUCUUUCUAACCAAACAAUUACUAGUACACCUAUUGUGAUUCCUAAUACAAGAGUCACAAUAGGGACAAGCAUCCAUAUGAUCCCAUAGACUUCUUUUAAGGAUUCCAAUUUGGAAAAAGAAUUGAUAGUCUCUAUUUCUGUUGUAUCAAUUAUCAUUUCAACGAUCAACUUCUCCCAUAAUGAUAUCUAUGCUACCUAGUAUUGUCAUAAUAUCAGCCAAUUUCAUUCUUUUAACUAACUGAGGAAGAAUUUGCAAAUUGAUAAAACCUGGUGGGCGAAUUUUCCAUCUCCAAGGAAAAACGCUCUGAUCUCCUAUCAGAAAAAUCCCCAAUUCUCCUUUUGGGGCUUCAACUCUCACAUAAAGUUCUUGUUUCGACAAUUCAAAAGUUGGAGAAGGCUUUUUACUAAUAAACCGAUAUUCAAAAUCAUUCCAUUCAGGAUCUUUUAAUCUGUCAAAACGUCGCAUUUCUAAAUUUUCGUAAGGCCCCCCUGGAAUUCCUUCCAGAGCCUGUUGAAUAAUCUUUAUGGAUUCUGUCAUUUCACCGAUUCGUACUAAAUAACGAGCUAAUGAAUCCCCUUCUCGUUGCCAUUGAACCUUCCAAUCAAAUUCGUCGUAAGACUCAUAAUGAUAAACUUUAGGAAGAUCCCAUUCUAUUCCGGAAGCUCGUAGCAUUGGUCCCGAUAAACCCCUAUUUAAUGCCUCGUCUCUCCCAAUAAUGCCUACGGCUUCAACUCGUUCUAAAAAAAUAGGAUUCCAAGUAAUAAGUUUUUGAUACUCAGCAACCCCUGUUAAAAAAUAAUCGCAAAAAUCCAAACAUUUAUCUAUCCAACCAUAGGGUAGAUCGGCAGCAACUCCUCCUAUCCUAAAAUAAUUAUGCAUCAUUCGCAUACCGGUGGCAGCUUUGAAUAGGUCAUAUAUCAAUUCUCUUUCUCAAAAAAUAUAGAAGAAAGGGGUCUGUGCACCAAUAUCCGCCAUAAAAGGACCGAGCCAUAACAAAUGAGAAGCUAUCCGACUCAACUCCAACAUAAUGACUCUGAUAUAGCAAGCCCUUUUAGGUACUUGAAUAUUGCCUAAUUGUUUGGGUCCAUUUAUGGUUAUUGCUUCUGUGACAUAGUAGCUAAAUAAUCCCAGCGUGUUACAUAAGGCAAAUAUUAUAUAAUUGUUCGGUUUUCCGCAAUUUUCUCCAUCCCUCUAUGUAAAUAACCCAAUAUUGGUUCGCAGUCGACAACAUCUUCACCAUCUAGAGUAACGAUGAGUCAAAGAACACCGUGCAUUGAUGGGUGCUGAGGCCCCAUAUUGACUAUCAUGGGGUCUUUUCUUGUAGUUGGUGCAGUCAUAAGUUUUUUAACGAUUCAUUCUUCCAUGAAUUACUGAAAGUGAAAAAAAGUUCAUCAAAAUUUAAUCGAAACAUAUAAGUGAAAAUGAAAUAACUCUUCAAUUUAGUCAAAUUAACGAGUUUUUGUCUAUCGAAUGUCUAACUGAUUAAUUAAUUCUUUAUAACGUACUCUAUUUUUUUUUGCCAAAUAAGCUAGCAGUCGUUGACGUUUUCCCAAAAUUUUCUUCAAACCUCACUGAGAUAAAUAGUCUUUUUUGUGCAAUUCUAAAUGUGAAGUAAGUCUUCGUAUCUUAUUGGUGAAAUUGAAUACUUGAAAUUCAACAGAUCCUUUCUUUUCUUCUUGAGAAAUAACUGAAAUUAUAGAAUUUUUUACCAUAAAUGAAUUUCCCCUUUCUUUAUUUUACAGAUAUGGAUUUUUUCAAAUUUUAUUGAUCAGUAAUAAUAAUGCCAGUAAUUUGAACGUGGAAUAUAGACUUAAUUUCUUUAUGAACCUCUAAUUGUAGCAAUUCCAAUAAAUUAAUCAAAUUUCAAAUUUGAUUCAGAUAGGAAUCCAAAAAGGCGAUAGGUACGUUUUUUUUAGUCACAAAAACGAAUAAUUGAAACCUAAAAUCCUAAAAUGAAGAAGGUUCUGUUGAUUCAUUUCUAGAUCUAAUUAAUACCUUAUUUUAUUGAUUUAGUAUUGUCUACUCGAAUUAGAUUCGAAUGAGAUGUAAAACAAGGCAUGUUUGCAUUUAUUUGCUUUCAGUUACUCUAUACGAGACAGGGUAUAUAGUACUAUCAAUUAAUUUUCAAUCGUGGAUACAUAUGUAUCCUUAAGAUACUGAAAUGGCUACCAAUAUUGGUAUCAAACCAAUAACGAUUCAUACAAGCUAAAUCUUCUAAUCGAUAAUUAGACCAAAAAAAGAACUUAAAUUUAAUUAAUUCAUUUUUAUCUUUAUAAAGGGGUUUCCGUUCUCCCAAAAAUUGACUCCAGUUUUUUACAUUGUUUUCGUUGCAAAAUACUGAAUUUCUAUCGACGCUAUUCCAAUUCCAAGAAUUAAAAAAACUUCGAAUUCUCAACCCUCUACGACGUCUAGAGCAUAAAAUAUUUUUAGGAACAAGCAAACCAAAAUGAGUUUUUUCUGUAUUUAUUCUUUGAGUUUGAGGUUGCAGAAUGAAUUCGUCAAAAUUUUUUUUAUCAACAUAUCUUUGUUCUCGGUAUCUUUGAUUAGUUUGGUGUUUACUUUUAUGAACCAAUGAAAUACCUAUGGUUUGAUACAUAAUAAAUUGUCUAUUAUGUUUUACAGACAAUCGAAUAAGUUCAAUAAUCAAUAUCCCCUUCUUCAUCAAGUCUAUAAGAGGUAAAUUUGCCUGAAUGAGCAUUAUAUCCAAACUCAUUUCUCUCCUUUGAAUUGACGAUAUAGUAAUUUUGGUUGGAUUUAUCAGUCGAAGCAGGAGACAAUAUACCUUGAUAUUUUCGAGCAUUCUUUGAUUCAAAGCACCGUUCCAUCUCAAUUGAAAAAGCAAAUAACGUUUAAAGAACAAAUCUAGUUCUGCUUCCGUGUUGCUUUUGUAUUAUUUUUUAUUUUUACACUUUUUUGUGUCUGAUUCCACGUAAUAUUUUUCAAGAUCGGUUUGAUGUUUUGAAAAAAUAGGGCUCAGAUUUCCUUUGUUUUCUAUAUCUGAUCCACGCUCUCUUUGACUUGGGGGUUCUUUUGCUUCUUGACUUUGAUUCUUUACUUUUAUUUUUUAUUUGAUGGUAGAAAAAAGUUUUGGAUUUUAUUUUUACUAACAUUUUUAUUUGUAUUCAAAGUAAAAAGAAGGAUUUUUGCUUGGUAUAAUCCACGGUUUUAUUUUAUAGACAUUAUAAAGUAGUACAAAUUCUGGGAAGAACAAAAAUUCCAGAUUCAAUAUGGGACAAUUAAAUAUUUUUUCAUUCAUUCUCAUCCAAUCAAAAAAGACUUUUUUCGAAUUUUUUUGAGUUUUUUCUGGAUUUUGAUGAGUUCUAAGAUAAAAAAAAACCCUUUUCUCAAUUUUGAUCAAUUAUUCGAUAAUUACUAAUACCAAUUUUAGUAUUUGGAUUACUGUUGGUAUCGAUCUUAAUCCAGGCUUCAAUAUCUCCUUUUUGUCUUAGAGAAAAAUGGAUAAUUUUCCAAUCAAAAUAAUUUCUAUCGAGAUUUCUUUCUCUAUCUAGAAUAUUGCCCUUUCUUAGAUAAUUAUUGAUAUGAAGAUUGCUGGGCAUAUCAACAAAGUUGUGUUUGGACGUGUUGGAAUUAUACGAAAUUUCUAAGUUCUUCUUUACUUGAACUUCAAAGGGUAAUCUAGAAAAAAAUGAGUCACUUUUAUUUUCAUAGUUAAUCGAUUUAUAUGCUAAAAGACCAUAUCCAUAACAUUUUUUUAAAUUAUCUUUUUCGUUUGAUAAUGAAUAGAGUUUCGAAUCAUUUUCUAUUUUUAUUUUGAGCCAUACAACUUUGAUUAACCCUAGUUCGCCAUUUUUUUUGGGCAUUAAUCUAGACCAUCUAAUCUGAGAUAAAUCGUAUUGAUAAUGCCAUCUUAACCAGUUUUUCCAUUGAUUUAUUCGAUAACUCUGAAGUUUCUUAUGUUUUAAUUCUGAAUGAAAUAUUCAUAGUGUUUUAAAAUAGUCCUUUAUUUUAUUCUUAAGGAAACAAGACGUUGUGUUAUAUUGAAGAACAAAUCUAAAUUUAGAAAAAUUAAUAACUUGGGUUUGUGAGAAUUUGUAAAAUACAUAUGCUUGUGACAAGUAGGAUAAAUCACACAAAAUAUGUGAGUUUUUAUUACUAAUAUUAUAAAGUGACUUUAUUAUAGUCGAAAUAAACAUAAAGUGAAUUUUUUUUUAUGAUUAAUUUUUUCUUAAUUUAUUUCAUUAUUGGAGAUGAAUUUCUCAAUCAAUUUGAUUGUUGAUUUAAGAAAGAGUUGUGUAGUAAUUCUAGGAAUAUUAAUGAUAGAUAAAAAUAAAUUGAUGUAUAAUUUUAGAAAAUAAUGGAAUUUCCAUAUUACUCGAGUAUUUCUGCUUUUUAAUAUUUGGAAAAAAAAUUUGGCAAUUCGAAUUUUUUAAUAUUAUUUGUUUUAUUAGGAUUAAUGUCUAUUUCUGGAGUUACUUUGUUUUUCUCUUUUGUAAUUCUUUCUAUUUGAUUUUUGAUUGUACUUGUUCUAUCAGUCAAAUCCUUCAUUUUUGUUUCUAUCAGUGAAGAAUUUGGCCAAUUUCCAAAUUCAAUUUGACGAAAUUAUUCGUUAAUUAUUUGAUUACUAAUUAGAUAAUCUUUUUCUUUUUUUGUUUCAUUGGAUUAAGAUAUUUCUUUGAAUCUAAAUAAUACAAUUAGACUUACUUUUGAAAGUUUUUGUUUGUUUUUUUUUAGAAAUCCAAUACUUUUGAUAAACAAUUUUGUGGUUUCUCUUGAAACUCUUCUAAAUAAUUUUGUUUUCCUUUUAAAAUUUUUUAGAGCUAGAAAAUAUUUCUUUUUGAAUUUUCCUAUUUUUUUUCGAGUUCCUUAAAAAUGGGCUAAAAAAAUGAAGGUCGCUUUCGGGGAGAACCAAAGGGAAGUUCAGCUUCCAUUCCCCAAACUGUUAAAAAACAAAAAUCAUCUUUUUGUUUUUGCUUUUUAAUUAGCUCUCUGCGGGACGGAUACAGUUCAUAUAUAUGCCAAGGUUUCAGACAAAAAGGAAAUAAAAUUUUGAUCUGAAUCCCGUCUCUUAACCAAUUUUUGGGAAAUUCUGUUUCUGAUAAUUGAACACCAUUAUAAGUACAUUUAAUCUGUAUUUCUCUAUUCCAUCCCUGCAAAUCUUCAGAUCAUUCAGGGAGUUGCAAAAAUAACAUAUGUCCGAUAUUUUUGGCUAUUAUCAAUGCAGGUAAUAGAAUAUAUUUUCGAAGAAUUGAUUGAGUUAUUAACAUGUAACCUCUUAUUAUUUGUGCCAAAGGAAUGGUAUCCCAGGCUUCUUCGAUCACUAUCCGUGCUUGUUCCUUUCUUUUGUUAUCCUCUUUUUUGUCCUUUUCUUUUUUCUCUUCUCUUUUUGUUUGUUCUUCUCUAGACUCUAGAAUCUUGAAUUCUCCCUCUUUAUCUAUCCAAUUUUGAAAAAUUGGUUUAAUUAGUUCAGAGAUAUCAAAAGAAAAAAGACGUAGGGGGAUUAUUCUGUUGACAAAAAACGGAGAAUGUACAUUUGCUUGAAAUAGUUUCGGAAUAAAUGUUUUGCACCUUUGAGCCUGCAUAGAGCCUGUAAUUAUACAUCGCGAAAAUAUGAUUGUUGCGAAUAGCUUAUUAAAGCCACUUCCUCCUCAGCAUCCUUAGUCGCCUUGUUGUCAGUAAAAAUAACUACACGUUUGGCUUUUCUUGAACGAAGUUGAUGAUCCAUUGAUGCGCGAUCUUUAAAUUCACCCAUUUGUUUGUCCAAUUCAGUGAUUAAUUUAUAGGACCAGCGAGGUACUUUUUUACUGAUUUCUUUUUUGACACAUGUAAAAGUGAUGGAAAACAAAAAAUAUAUUUUACAUACCCGCCAAGUUUAUCAACUUUUUGGAAAAUGAUAAAAAGAAAGAUACCCCUAUUGUCACUCCAAAAAAUGUUCCCUAAUGAACUGGACACUCAGUGGGUUUCUACCAACAAAGAAAAAAGUAAUAAUCUAAAUAAGGAAUUUUUAAAUCGAUUUGAAAUUCUAGACAAGAAAUCUCUUUCUCUGGAUAUACUCGUAACAAGGACUAGAUUUUGUAAUGAUGAUACUAAAAAAGAAUGCGUGCCUAAAAUGUAUGAUCCUUUGUUAAAUGAACUAUAUCGAGGAACAAUUAAAAGGGGGGUUUCAUCUUCAAUCAUAAACAAUACUUUGCUAGAAAAUUGGGAAAAGAGAGUUAGACUAAAUAGGAUUCAUACUAUCUUUCUUCCGAAUAUUGAUUACCAAGAAUUUGAACAAAAAGCGUAUACGAUUGAUAAAAAACCAUUAUCAACAGAAAUUGACGAGUUCUUAACUUUAAUCAAUGAAUUAGGUAACGAAGCAAAAUCGAGUUUAAAUUUGAAGGGUCUUUCUUUAUUUUCAAACCAAGAACAGAGAAGAGCGAAUUAAGAAAAAAGAACGAAAUUUGUCAAAUUUGUAUUCAAUGCAAUUGAUCCUAAUUAGACAAAAUCGGGAAAAAAUCGAUCUGCUCAAAUCGAUUAUUCUUUAUGUAACAAAAUGGUCGAUUCCAUCGAUUAUAAUCGAAAAGAAGACUCACAAGAGGUUUUUGAAACCAGAAGAGGUCUUGUUCUUGAUUUUCAUUUUUUUUUAUCAAGCAGUUGCAAUUUACAAUUUUCUAGAUUUUCCGUGUUAUUAUUACUCAGAUAAGAAUCCUGAUAAUCAUAAAUUGGACUAUUACUAGUAUUAAUAUUGUUAUAGCCUGUCUCUGUAAGGUGAGAGUUGAAUUUAUCCUUUAUUUUGUCCUUUCCAUUCACUCGGAUUUCUUCCGUUUCAUCGAUUUUGUCCGUAUCCCACCCUUCUUCCGAAAAAAUGGAAGGAGAAGGAUAAGGAUCUUCUUCAGUGGAUCCCUCUUGUUCCUGUUUAGUCCUCUUCAUUUCGGAAGCAGUUUUUUUUCUACAUCUCUUUCUUCCUCACUUUCCACCCUUUCUUCUGUUUUUGAGGCUUCUUUCAGUUUCUUAGUAAGAAUGGGUGAGGGUAUUCUUCCUAAAUAGUAGACACAGGUAAUAAAUAAGAGAAUACUAAAGAUCCGAGCCAUAGAAUUUCUCAAUUCUAAUACAAGGUACUUAUUAGAUCGAAUGUACUUAUUCGAUCUAAUAGAAUGAUUUUGCCGUAUCAAGACUAAUACCAAUCCAAGCCAUUUCAUGAAUAAAAUGUGACCAAUUAACCAACCAACAAAACCACUUAUUACAAAUAAGAUCUUGUUGUUGCAUCGAAAGAGAUAAAUGUUGACCAAUCUGGCUAACAUUGAACUUGGUAAAAUGAAAUGGUUGAAUAAUUGAAAAAUGAGAUUAUUCAGGAAUACACAUUGAAUGCUGAGAUUACGCAUUGAAUUUCUGGUAGUAGAUCCAUAAUCAAAAAAGUGUUUGUGAUUGUUCCAGAAGAAAUGAAACAAAAGAUAUGGUAGAGCUAGGACAGUUAUUGUAUGAGAUCUAACCAAUGCUAGAUGCAGAGGCGCAUAAUAGAUCGAUAUGAACAUCAUGAACUGUCCCGUAAUAAAACCAGUUGGUUUUGAUACCUUUUUCUCGGUUCCUUCUUCCAUAACCAGAGCUCGGAGAAGGAAGAAAUAGGAGGGCCCUAUGGAGAAUGUGGUCAGAAAUCCAUAAUAGAGUCCGACCACAACUACCGAAUUGAUUAUCUUCAUGCAUAAGGAUACUAGAUUACCUAGUAGAAAAGAUUGAAAAAUCAUCACAAACCUCCCCUAUUUCUUUUCUAUUGCAAUUUCUGGAUUAUUAUAUGAUGAUUUUUGAACUUUCCAUAUAGAAAAGAAAUAGAAAGAGAUAGACUAGAAACGACAUCUAUUAUGUUAAUGACACCAAAAGAAUAUUAGAUGAAUGGAAUUGGGAUAUGGAUAGAAUAUAAUGAAAUAGAGCCACUUUGAGGUUCCCUCUGAAAUGAGGCAUGUAAGGGAGCCACUACGAAGAAGUUCCGGGAGUUACGAAGGAAGCUUCGAGCUCAUAUUGGUCAUGGGUUGGGAACGGGAAUUGAACUCUAUGAGAUUGAAUCUCCUGUUGUUCCUCAGUAGCUCAGUGGUAGAGCGGUCGGCUGUUAACCGAUUGGUCGUAGUUUCGAAUCCUAGGGGAGAUUUGAUUGAUUCUGAAUUCUUUAAUUCAGAAUAAGAAUAAAGGGGCUCCCUUUGCUCGUUAAGAGUAGGUAACCCGUUCCCUGUCUUUGUUUCUAUUGCAUUCUAUCUCAUUGUAUCACAUUCUGUUCUGUGAGAUUAGAAAAUCACCAUCAAUACCUCGGUCUAGGUCCGAGAUAAUCCUUUGUUCCAUAUCCCUCGGGAUAUUUACAACUAGCCAAUUAAGAAGUCUCAGAUGUACUAGCACUGCAUCUUUGAUACAGUCGUCGAUUCUCCCGAGAGGUCACAAUUGCCGCGAGCAAAGAUAUUAAUGACGAGGAAGGCUUUUUUGUUAUGCUACUAAUACUUGCUCUGCUUUUCUGCCCAAGCCCGGCUGAGGAAGAGUUACGGGGCUAAAAAAAAAUACGUCGAUCGGGCAUACUAUGUGUAAUGAUUCCCCCAUUCACGAUAAAUAAAAAGAUAAAAAGCCAUUCCAUUUCCACAAAAGACCCACACCCAAGUUACAUAGCUUUUGGUUCGCUAUCCCGAUCAUAAUUUUCCUACCCCCAGAGGGAAAGGUACUUCCCUUUUUGGCCGGUUGUGGGCGAGGAGGGAUUCAACCCCCGACAUCGUGGUUCGUAGCCUCGUGCUCUAAUCCUCUGAGCUACAGGCCCCACCCCGUCUCCACUGGAUCUGUUCCCGGGAGUACCCUCAAAAAAAGGAACCUUUCCUCUCCCCAGCCAUUUAGGGUUAAGAAGAUGUGAAAGUGCGUUUAUCUCUAUAAGUUUAUAAGAAGGGUGCAUUCCGAGAUGUGAAGUGGGAGAGAAGGGAUGUCACAAUUGGGGUUUUGAAUAAAAAGACCUUUUUCUUUUUCAUUUUUUUUUUCGUUUUCAUAUUGAAAAAGUAAUAAGAUUGAGAGGUGUUAAGCUUUUUAUCAUCCUGUCGUCUAGCUAUUUUUCCGCAGGACCUCCCCUAGAGUAUCGUCACCGCAGUAGAGUUUAACCACCAAGUUCGGGAUGGAUUGGUGUGGUUCCUCUACGCCUAGGACACCAGAAUAUCGAACCAUGAACAAAGAAAGGCAUGAGAGAAAAGCAUAUUGGCUAGUGAUUGUGAGGCCCCAAUUCUUAACUGGAGGGGACACCAAAGGCCUCUACCCUUCUAUCCAUUGGAUAGAUAGAGAGGGAGGGCAGAGCUUUUGGUUUUUUCAUGUUGUCAAAGAGUUGAAUAAUGGUUUUUUCGUGCCGUCAAACAUUUGAACAAUAUUACACUAUGGAACAAUUGAAGGGAUGUGGCGCAGCUUGGUAGCGCGUUUGUUUUGGGUACAAAAUGUCACGGGUUCAAAUCCGAUCCUAUUUCAGUGGGAACUUGAUGAGUCGAUCCACCUACACGUCUUUCUUUUACUGUUAUAAUGGGAGUUACUCCACGUAUUGCUUGAUGUAAAACGGAUAGUGGAGUUGUUUAUAUAUAUAUAUAUAUAUAUAUAUAUAUAUAUAUAUAUAUAUAUAUAUAUAUAUACAUAUAUAUUAGGGUUUAGGGUUUAGGGUUAGGGUUUAGGGUUUAGGGAAUUUGUGAGUCUCAUUUUACUCAUUACCACACAUCUGUGGAAAAACUGUUUGGACAUACUUAAAAGGAUAAGACAGAUACCAGACUACAAGGACAAUAAUGCAAGAAAAGGAACAUCAUUUCACGUGACGAUGAGGCCCAGAAGUGUACUCGGCUGAGAUGAUAAGAUUCUCUUUCCAUUUGAAAUCCGAAGUUUGAAGUCCGAAGACCUCUAUAAAAGCAGGCAUUAUCAAGAGAGGAACAACAAGAAGAAGAAGAAGAAAUCCCUAGCAUAAAAAAAAUGUCAGAAAUCCCUUUCCAAAAAUCCAUAUAUAUAUAUAUAUCCAUUUUUUAUAAAAAAUCAAAAAUGAAGAAUUUCGUGACUUUAUUGACCUGACCAGGAAAAAAAGCAGUUUUUCUAUUUUUUAUGAUACUUUGAAAUCCAGGCUCCGUUUAGAAAAAACCCAAUUGGAUUGGUACGAUAUCUAUGUAAGAUAUCUAUGAAUGGGUUCGAUGUACUUUUAUCUUCAACGACUGGCCCAGCAUUCAAUGCGGGUCAAAGCAUCUGGUUGCCGGGUUGGCUAAAUGCUGUUAAUGAAAUGAAAAAGAUUUCUGCAUAUACGCCCAAAUCGGUCAAUAAUAUUCCUAUUUCAUCAUCAAAUUUUUUAUAAGAUAAGUUGAUUGAAGAAGUUUUUAUUUUUGUUUCUAAUUGGUCAGGAGCUCUUUCGAGAAAAAGAGCCGAUUGUAUGGGAAAUCCUUCAAGAAGUAAUGCAGGGACACAAUUA
rnacentral:lncRNA from 1 species